rnacentral:rRNA from 1 species
AUGAACGCUGGCGGCGUGCCUAAUACAUGCAAGUCGAGCGAACAGAUGAGGAGCUUGCUCCUCUGACGUUAGCGGCGGACGGGUGAGUAACACGUGGAUAACCUACCUAUAAGACUGGGAUAACUUCGGGAAACCGGAGCUAGUACCGGAUAAUAUAUUGAACCGCAUGGUUCAAUAGUGAAAGACGGUUUUGCUGUCACUUAUAGAUGGAUCCGCGCCGCAUUAGCUAGUUGGUAAGGUAACGGCUUACCAAGGCAACGAUGCGUAGCCGACCUGAGAGGGUGAUCGGCCACACUGGAACUGAGACACGGUCCAGACUCCUACGGGAGGCAGCAGUAGGGAAUCUUCCGCAAUGGGCGAAAGCCUGACGGAGCAACGCCGCGUGAGUGAUGAAGGUCUUCGGAUCGUAAAACUCUGUUAUUAGGGAAGAACAAAUGUGUAAGUAACUAUGCACGUCUUGACGGUACCUAAUCAGAAAGCCACGGCUAACUACGUG